rnacentral:rRNA from 1 species
GACGAACGCUGGCGGCGUGCUUAACACAUGCAAGUCGAACGGAAAGGCCCUGCACUUGUGGGGUGCUCGAGUGGCGAACGGGUGAGUAUCACGUGAGUAGCCUGUCCUUGACUGUGGGAGAACUUCUGUGAACUCGGGUGAUUAUCGCACAUGAGCACUUUCUGCAUGAGGGUUGUGGGAGAAAUACGGCGGUUCGGGAUGGACUCGUGGUCUAUCGGCUUGUUGGUGAGUUAGUGGAUUACCAAGGCAUUGACGGGUAGCCGGCUUGAGAGGGUGACCGGGCACAUUGGGCCAGAGAUACGGCCCAGACUGAUACGGGAGGCAGCAGUGGGGAAUAUUGCGCAAAGGGCGGAAGCCGGAUGCAGCAACGCCGCGUGCGGGAUGACGGCCUUCGGGUAGGAACGCGCGUUAGAGUGUAAAGAAGAGUGAGUGACGGUAAUGGGUAAAGAAGCACCGGCUAACUACGUG